CAUAAAUUUGUCUACACAAAAAUAACAAGGUAUUUACGUUACACAUGGAAAGAGAAGCAUUAAUGAGUGUCUCCCAUCUGGAAAACUGCUGGAAGACCAAAGGAUGUGUCAGAGAUCCUUUGAAAAAUGAAUAUCUGAUUCUGAAGUUGAAAUAUUUGAUCCCAAGUCAAAAGUGAGAAUCUUUACAUAAAUUGAAGGACAUAUAUAUAUCCAGACAGAUUUAGCCCACCAUCACCCCUACGCCAAGGCUCUAAAGAACUUUGGCAAGAGAUCAGAUGAUGAUAGAAAAGGUAAUCCAAAUGUUCAUGUCUUCUUGUUGAAACAAUUUUUAAAGAAAAAUAUAACUACUAACAUUCAUUAGUUUCUGUGCUGUGUUUCCAUGUGUGAGACUUUUAUCUUGUUUAUAUGUAGAGGUGCAAGCCAAAAUCUGUAGAGAUGGAAAGGCUUUUACAUUCGGUCAGCUACAGACGCUGUAUAAUGAUUGGAUUAUGGAAAUGCAUGAUCGUUAUGAUGAGGAAACUGAAGAUGCUUCGAAGGAGAAAAAGAAUAAAAAGCUCGACCUCAAAUCCAGUGUGCUGAGGUUUCAUAAAGAGAUCCAGAGGAAAGGAAGAUUUUGGAAAGCUGGUCUGAACAUCAAAAUUUUAAAGGGAGCAUGUGCCGGAUGCCAUAAGAAUAAUGUUGUACCACCUGAACUUUUCUAAGGAUAGAAAACUGGGUUUAUCUUGACUAGUGGGGGAUUGAAGGAGCGGUGGAGAAGUUGGCGUGAUACAAUUGUGCAAUUGGUUUCCCCGUUCUUCCUUGCUCCUCCAAUCCCCCACUAAUCGCGAUAAACCGAGCCUUCUGUGCUUGGAAAGUUGGGGCGUGACAACAUUGUUGUUAUGGCCAGUGUUGUUAAAAUCACGCCCCGAGCGCGCUUGGGUCGCGGGUCGCAAGGUUCGAGACCGACGUCGCCCCAUUGUGGGCGGCUGGGUCGAGCGGCUGGGGCGAGGAAGAAGAAGAAGAUCGUCGGUUUCACUGACGGAACUAGCGGGGGCUCUCCCAGGGACGGACCUACCGUAGGCCAAGCUGCCGCUCCAGCGGAGGCUUGGCCGGCGCCGACCAGUAUCCUGCUGUGGUUCCCCGUAAAUUGAGCCUGUGUUUGUGAGAGAAUUAAGAUAGAAAAUACAGAUAAAGAUUGAAGAAGAAAGACAAAUGGAGUAGUUUUAGUGGGAAAUGUGAAGACUUACAAAAAGUAAUCGCAUAUAGAUAGAGCUAGCACCUACAACCUAAUCAAACAUAUUUUCGUAUCUUAUUCUAUUCAAUAACAUUGUUCACCA